rnacentral:rRNA from 1 species
GACGAACGCUGGCGGCGCGCUUAACACAUGCAAGUCGAGCGAUGAAAUCUUAACAGAACCCUUCGGGGUGAAGAUAAGACGGAUUAGCGGCGGACGGGUGAGUAACACGUGAGUAACCUGCCUUUUACACAGGGAUAGCCUCGGGAAACCGGGAUUAAAACCUGAUGAAACUAUCAAAUCACAUGAUUAAGAAAGUUAAAACUCCGGUGGUAAAAGAUGGAUUCGCGUCCCAUUAGCUAGUUGGUGAAGGUAACGGCCCACCAAGGCAACGAUGGGUAGCCGGCCUGAGAGGGUGAACGGCCACAUUGGAACUGAGAAACGGUCCAAACUCCUACGGGAGGCAGCAGUGGGGAAUAUUGCACAAUGGGGGAAACCCUGAUGCAGCGACGCCGCGUGAGCGAAGAAGGCCUUCGGGUCGUAAAGCUCUUUUAUAUGGGAAGAUAAUGACGGUACCAUA